UGGUGGAAGACUGGGACACAAAUUGCACAGUGACCAAUCACAGACAUACAUAGUGAAACCCUCCCACUAGUACAGUAUAAUCCCUCCUCUCUAUCCUAGAGAUAAUUGGGAAGUAAUCCAAUUAUCUCCAAGGAUAGAGGUAAAACUCCAUUACACACAUUUUCAGUAAAAGACGCUGCGCUUGUCUAUGAUAACCUCGUGCCAAUCGCACAUCCCACUGACGGCGACAACACAUUCGGAUGUCUUCCCUAUCAUCUUUCGAUGCAAUUUUCCACGCCUACCAUGGUAACCAUGGGUAACAGGGAAUCAGGGUUCGAUUCUAAAGAGGGAGCCUGAGAAACGGCUACCACAUGCAACGAAAGGCAGCAGGUGCGCAAAUUAUCCACUUCCAAUGCGGGGAGGUAAUGACAACAAAUAACAAUACACUACUCUUUCGAGGCCCUGUAAUUGUAAUGAGUCCACUUUAAAUCCUUUAACUUGGAUCAAUUGGAGGGCAAGUCUGGUGCAGAGCGACUGACCUGUGCAUGCUGCAGCUGAAACUCCACUAUCGCCUGCUGCUA